GGUGAACGCUGGCGGCGUGCCUAAUACAUGCAAGUCGAGCGAACAGAUGAGGAGCUUGCUCCUCUGACGUUAGCGGCGGACGGGUGAGUAACACGUGGAUAACCUACCUAUAAGACUGGGAUAACUUCGGGAAACCGGAGCUAAUACCGGAUAAUAUAUUGAACCGCAUGGUUCAAUAGUGAAAGACGGUUUUGCUGUCACUUAUAGAUGGAUCCGCGCCGCAUUAGCUAGUUGGUAAGGUAACGGCUUACCAAGGCAACGAUGCGUAGCCGACCUGAGAGGGUGAUCGGCCACACUGGAACUGAGACACGGUCCAGACUCCUACGGGAAGCAGCAGUAGGGAAUCUUCCGCAAUGGGCGAAAGCCUGACGGAGCAACGCCGCGUGAGUGAUGAAGGUCUUCGGAUCGUAAAACUCUGUUAUUAGGGAAGAACAAAUGUGUAAGUAACUAUGCACGUCUUGACGGUACCUAAUCAGAAAGCCACGGCUAACUACGUG
rnacentral:rRNA from 1 species